rnacentral:rRNA from 1 species
GACGAACGCUGGCGGCGUGCUUAACACAUGCAAGUCGAACGGAAAGGCCCUGCUUUUGUGGGGUGCUCGAGUGGCGAACGGGUGAGUAACACGUGAGUAACCUGCCCUUGACUUUGGGAUAACUUCAGGAAACUGGGGCUAAUACCGGAUAGGAGCUCCUGCUGCAUGGUGGGGGUUGGAAAGUUUCGGCGGUUGGGGAUGGACUCGCGGCUUAUCAGCUUGUUGGUGGGGUAGUGGCUUACCAAGGCUUUGACGGGUAGCCGGCCUGAGAGGGUGACCGGCCACAUUGGGACUGAGGUACGGCGCAGACUCGUACGGGAGGCAGCAGUGGGGAAUAUUGCACAAUGGGCGGAAGCCUGAUGCAGCAACGCCGCGUGCGGGAUGACGGCCUUCGGGUUGUAAACCGCUUUCGCCUGUGACGAAGCGUGAGUGACGGUAAUGGGUAAAGAAGCACCGGCUAACUACGUG